rnacentral:rRNA from 1 species
CCUACGGGAGGCAGCAGUUAGGAAUCUUGCGCAAUGGGCGAAAGCCUGACGCAGCGACGCCGCGUGCGGGAUGACGGCCUUCGGGUUGUAAACCGCUUUCAGCAGGGACGAUUAUGACGGUACCUGCAGAAGAAGCCCCGGCCAACUACGUGCCAGCAGCCGCGGUAAUACGUAGGGGGCAAGCGUUGUCCGGAUUUAUUGGGCGUAAAGAGCUCGUAGGCGGUUUGGUAAGUCGGGUGUGAAAUCUCCACGCUCAACGUGGAGGGGCCACUCGAUACUGCCACGACUCGAGUCCGGUAGAGGAGUGUGGAAUUCCCGGUGUAGCGGUGAAAUGCGCAGAUAUCGGGAGGAACACCCGUAGCGAAGGCGGCACUCUGGGCCGGAACUGACGCUGAGGAGCGAAAGCGUGGGGAGCAAACAGGAUUAGAUACCCUGGUAGUCCACGCCGUAAACGUUGGGCACUAGGUGUGGGGAUCUAUCGACGGUUUCCGUGCCGAAGCUAACGCAUUAAGUGCCCGCCUGGGGAGUACGGCCGCAAGGCAAAACUCAAAGGAAUUGACGG